CAUGUAUAUAUACACACACACACACACCAUAUACAUGUAGAUAUAUAUGUAUGUGUGUGUGUGUGUGUGUGUAUUGUUAGACAUCAGAGCAUUAUAAAUAAGAAUCCACCAAAACAAGCAAUGAAUAUAUGAAUUUUCAAAUAUAAUUAAGCGAAAAUAGAUGAAAGAAGAUGUGAUCAUUGAGAUGGAAAAGAGAAACUAGUUUGAAUGAUAGUUCAUUUAAUGAAUCAGGAAAAAUAUUCAGAGUGAAGGAGAAGAAGAUUUAUGUGAUUCGGGUUUUUGGGUUGGGCUGGAUCAAGUUCAGGUCAUGUCGGAUCCAUUUUUGUUGACUUCUACCGGCCGAGUCAGGUUAAAAAAAUACAAGAUUUGGACCUGAUUCAGAUUUUAGAUCGGGUCUAAUAUUUGAACCACACCCAACCCACCAGUCUUCAUAUACAGAUUAGGUCAGGUCUCAUAGCGUCAAGUCAUAGGGCAACUUGACCCAUUUGCAGCCCUA
rnacentral:lncRNA from 1 species